AUCCAGCUGACGAGUACCAAAUAGGACGAAACCCGCGUCAAACUGGAU
rnacentral:hammerhead_ribozyme from 1 species